GAUGAAAUAUUUUAAUUGGCAGAAUAGUAGAUUCAUGUUCUAUCUGGUGUAGGUUCAAAUCCUAUUUUCAUCA
rnacentral:tRNA from 1 species